GCCCCUUCCACAGCGCCAUGCACGCCGCUGCACGGCAGAGCGAGCAAACGCCUCCAGCCAGCGCCGGCUUUUGGUACGGGCACACAGAAAUCCAGCCCAGGAAUUCUGCAGCAUUUCAAGUGUGACACGCCAUCCCGGAGCCUGGAGCUGGGAAGUUUGCCCGCUUCUUUGCAGGCCCUGCAGAGCACAAAAAGCAGCAGGACUGCAGCAUCAACAACCAGCAAUUGAGAGAAGAGAUACAUCAUUAAACUUAUUUAUAGCAUUAACUACUUUGCAU